GUUUUCUUUUAUCCCUUUUCAAUUUUGCUUACACAUCUUUACAAUUGUGCUAUGCAUAUUUAUAAAAAACUACCUGCGGGGGGUGAGACCGCCCCCACGGCAUUGUUUGAGAGAUAGAAUGAUCUUCUCACAGCAGGCCAAGACAACCCCCGAACCCCUGCCCCACCCGUGCUAUGCAUAUUUAUUAAGUUCAAAGUUUGGUAGAGAGAUUGACAUAAGUCGAUGAGUUUAGGGCAACUGCAAAACACUUACUAGGUAAUUCCAGCCACACUAUUUCAAGCCCUCUGAUGCUGGCUAGAGAUGGCUAGCCCUGCCAGGUAAUUUGAUUUCCUUUUUUUUUCUUUGGUCCAUUGCUAUAUGGAUUUAUUUUACAGCAGUCUCAUGUUACAUGAAAACGCUUCUCUUAGUCAUGUUCUUCUAGCUACGAAAUCUAAUAUACCACAUUAGUUCCUCACCAUUAUAGGGCAUGAGUUAUCAUAGCAAUAUAAUACCACUUUACUGAUAGUCUGAACUUUAAGACAUUAAGUGGAUCAAUAUUGUUUCCUGAAUAUUUCAGGAAUGGUUGAUUGCCUAACUUCAUUGGUUCUAUGAUUUCAAUUAAUUCUUAGAAAUACCAAGGUAGUGUUGUUAAGAUUAAUAGAUUUCUGUGAUUACUGAACUUAUAUUCAGCUUUCCCUUUUUGCCUAGCUCAAGCUUUCAAAGCUGCAGGUAGAGAGCUCAAUGUUUAGGGAUCAUUAUUAAUGCAUAUUUAUUCAAUUGCUGUCAAAAUCCCCACAACAAUCAGAUUGAUGUGUACCAUGGUCUUCUUUACCACUUCAGAAGCACCUACAGAUCUCAAGCUUCUUUAGCUAAUGUGUAGUUUGAUGCCCAAACUACAGCCUUAAUCUUUUAUAUUCCGUGGCGAAGGAAGUGUUCGAAGGAAAGCAAAAGUAGGAGUAUAUAACUAAUCACAUGGUAUCAUCAGCACAUUAACUUUUUUUUCAGCAUACAAGAGGAUGUAGCCAUUAUCAGUGUUGACAAUGAACUCUUGCGGUGAGCCAAAGAAUGCCUGUACCAUAGAUUUUUGUCAGUCAUCUCAACAUUCUCAUCAUCAAAGAAUAACCAAUGAGUGUGGCUCUUAAC